UACAGAGGGGGCAAGCGUUGUUCGGAAUUACUGGGCGUAAAGGGCGCGUAGGCGGCCUGUUAAGUCGAACGUGAAAUCCCCGGGCUCAACCCGGGAACUGCGUCCGAUACUGGCAGGCUUGAAUCCGGGAGAGGGAUGCGGAAUUCCAGGUGUAGCGGUGAAAUGCGCAGAUAUCAGGAGGAACACCGGUGGCGAAGGCGGAUCUCUGGGCCGUAACUGACGCUGAGGAGCGAAAGCAUGGGGGAGCGAACAGG
rnacentral:rRNA from 1 species